GACGGGUGAGUAACACGUGGGUAACCUGCCUGUAAGACUGGGAUAACUCCGGGAAACCGGGGCUAAUACCGGAUGGUUGUUUGAACCGCAUGGUUCAAACAUAAAAGGUGGCUUCGGCUACCACUUACAGAUGGACCCGCGGCGCAUUAGCUAGUUGGUGAGGUAACGGCUCACCAAGGCGACGAUGCGUAGCCGACCUGAGAGGGUGAUCGGCCACACUGGGACUGAGACACGGCCCAGACUCCUACGGGAGGCAGCAGUAGGGAAUCUUCCGCAAUGGACGAAAGUCUGACGGAGCAACGCCGCGUGAGUGAUGAAGGUUUUCGGAUCGUAAAGCUCUGUUGUUAGGGAAGAACAAGUGCCGUUCGAACAGGGCGGUACCUUGACGGUACCUAACCAGAAAGCCACGGCUAACUACGUGCCAGCAGCCGCGGUAAUACGUAGGUGGCAAGCGUUGUCCGGAAUUAUUGGGCGUAAAGGGCUCGCAGGCGGUUUCUUAAGUCUGAUGUGAAAGCCCCCGGCUCAACCGGGGAGGGUCAUUGGAAACUGGGGAACUUGAGUGCAGAAGAGGAGAGUGGAAUUCCACGUGUAGCGGUGAAAUGCGUAGAGAUGUGGAGGAACACCAGUGGCGAAGGCGACUCUCUGGUCUGUAACUGACGCUGAGGAGCGAAAGCGUGGGGAGCGAACAGGAUUAGAUACCCUGGUAGUCCACGCCGUAAACGAUGAGUGCUAAGUGUUAGGGGGUUUCCGCCCCUUAGUGCUGCAGCUAACGCACUAGGUACUCCGCCUGGGGAGUACGGUCGCAAGACUGAAACUCAAAGGAAUUGACGGGGGCCCGCACAAGCGGUGGAGCAUAUGGUUUGAUUCGAAGCAACGCGAAGAACCUUACCAGGUCUUGACAUCCUCUGACAAUCCUAGAGAUAGGACGUCCCCUUCGGGGGCAGAGUGACAGGUGGUGCAUGGUUGUCGUCAGCUCGUGUCGUGAGAUGUUGGGUUAAGUCCCGCAACGAGCGCAACCCUUGAUCUUAGUUGCCAGCAUUCAGUUGGGCACUCUAAGGUGACUGCCGGUGACAAACCGGAGGAAGGUGGGGAUGACGUCAAAUCAUCAUGCCCCUUAUGACCUGGGCUACACACGUGCUACAAUGGACAGAACAAAGGGCAGCGAAACCGCGAGGUUAAGCCAAUCCCACAAAUCUGUUCUCAGUUCGGAUCGCAGUCUGCAACUCGACUGCGUGAAGCUGGAAUCGCUAGUAAUCGCGGAUCAGCAUGCCGCGGUGAAUACGUUCCCGGGCCUUGUACACACCGCCCGUCACACCACGAGAGUUUGUAACACCCGAAGUCGGUGAGGUAACCUUUUAGGAGCCAGCCGCCGAAGGUGGGACAGAUGAUUGGGGUGAAGUCGUAACAAGGUA
rnacentral:rRNA from 1 species